rnacentral:rRNA from 1 species
UACGUAGGGUGCAAGCGUUGUCCGGAAUUAUUGGGCGUAAAGAGCUCGUAGGCGGCCAGGUAGGUCUGCUGUGAAAACUCGAGGCUUAACCUCGAGCUGUCGGCGGAAACCAUCUGGCUAGAGUCCGGAAGAGGAGAAUGGAAUUCCCGGUGUAGCGGUGAAAUGCGCAGAUAUCGGGAAGAACACCCGUGGCGAAGGCGGUUCUCUGGGACGGUACUGACGCUGAGACGCGAAAGCGUGGGGAGCGAACAGG